rnacentral:rRNA from 1 species
AACGACUAGGGGCACCAAGCCAGCCGGUGGAUGGCUCGGCUCGGGCGCUGACGAAGGGCGCGGCAAGUGGCGAAAUGCCCGGG